UACAGAGACUGCAAGCGUUUAUUCGGAUUCACUGGGCGUAAAGGGUGCGCAGGCGGCCAAGUGUGUUAGGCGUGAAAGCCCGGGGCUUAACCCUGGAAUUGCACCUAAAACUACAUGGCUAGAGCAUUGGAGAGGGUAGCGGAAUUCACGGUGUAGCAGUGAAAUGCGUAGAUAUCGUGAGGAACACCAGAGGCGAAGGCGGCUACCUGGACAAUUGCUGACGCUCAGGCACGAAAGCGUGGGGAGCAAAAGGG
rnacentral:rRNA from 1 species